AUGAAGACUCCCAAUCAACUCCUGGGUUUCCUGAUCCUCUGCCUCCCAGCUGUACAAUGUGACAUCCACAUGACCCAGAGUCCAGCUUCUCUGUCUGCCUUUAUAGGAGACACUGUCACCAUCACUUGCCGGGUCAGUGAAGACAUUAGUAGAUAUUUAGGCUGGUACCAGCAGAAAAUGGGGAAGAGCCCCAGGUUUCUGAUCUAUUAUGCAUCCAAUUUACACUCUGGUGUCCCAAAGAGGUUCAGUGGUAGUGGCUUUGGGGCAGAAUACACUCUCACUAUCAGCAGCAUGGAGCCUGAAGAUGCUGGGACUUACUACUGUCAACAGUGUUUCAGUUAUCCUCCACAGUGCUAA